rnacentral:rRNA from 1 species
CCGGAUUUAUUGGGUUUAAAGGGUGCGUAGGCGGCUUUAUAAGUCAGCGGUGAAAUAUUGCAGCUUAACUGUAUCACUGCCGUUGAUACUGUAGAGCUAGGAUUAGGUUGCUGUGGGCGGAAUGUGGGGUGUAGCGGUGAAGUGCUUAUAGAUCACACAAAAUAUCGAUUGCAAGCGCAGCUCACAAAGCCUAAAUUGACGCUGACGCACGAAAGUGUGGGGAUCGAACAGGAUUAUAUACCCUGGUACUCCACACUGUAAAAGAUGAUAACUCUCUGUCCGCGAUAUACAGUCGGUGGCCAAGCGAAAGCUAUAACUUAUCCACCUGGGGAGUACGACCGCGAGGUUGAAACUCAUUGGAAUUGACGGGGGCCCGCACAAGCGGAGGAACAUGUGGUUUAAUUCGAUGAUACGCGAGGAACCUUACCCGGGCUCGAACGGUGCAUGAAUGUCAUAGAGAUUUGACAGUCCUUCGGGACAUGUAUCGAGGUGCUGCAUGGUUGUCGUCAGCUCGUGCCGUGAUGUGUCCGCUUAACUGCCAUAACGAGCGCAACCCUUGUUGGCAGUUACCAUCAGGUCAAGCUGGGAGACUCUGUCUAGACUGCCACACGUAAGUGUGAUGACGGCGGGUAUGACUCCCAAUCAGCACGGCGCUUAUGUCCGUGGCGACACGCGUGUUACAAUGGGAGGUACAGACGGCAGCUAUCCAGUGAUCGAGUGCAAAUCUCACAAUCUUUCUCAAAUUCGGAUUGGUAGUCUGCAACUCGACUCCAUGAAGUUGGAUUCGCUAGUAAUCGCGCAUCAGC